rnacentral:rRNA from 1 species
UACGGGGGGAGCAAGCGUUGUUCGGAUUUACUGGGCGUAAAGGGCGCGUAGGCGGCCACCGCAAGUCAAUUGUGAAAUCUCCGGGCUUAACUCGGAAAGGUCAACUGAUACUGCGGGGCUAGAGUGCGGAAGGGGCAACUGGAAUUCUCGGUGUAGCGGUGAAAUGCGUAGAUAUCGAGAGGAACACCUGAGGUGAAGACGGGUUGCUGGGCCGACACUGACGCUGACAGCGCGAAAGCCAGGGGAGCAAACGGG